rnacentral:rRNA from 1 species
UACGUAGGGUGCAAGCGUUAAUCGGAAUUACUGGGCGUAAAGCGUGCGCAGGCGGUGAUGUAAGACAGGUGUGAAAGCCCCGGGCUUAACCUGGGAAUGGCCGUUGAAACUGGCGAACUGGAGUGUGGCAGAGGGGGGUGGAAUUCCGCGUGUAGCAGUGAAAUGCGUAGAGAUGCGGAGGAACACCGAUGGCGAAGGCAGCCCCCUGGGCUGACACUGACGCUCAGGCACGAAAGCGUGGGGAGCAAACAGG